rnacentral:SRP_RNA from 1 species
GCCGGGCGCGGUGGCGCGUGCCUGUAGUCCCAGCUACUCGGGAGGCUGAGGCUGGAGGAUCGCUUGAGUCCAGGAGUUCUGGGCUGUAGUGCGCUAUGCCGAUCGGGUGUCCGCACUAAGUUCGGCAUCAAUAUGGUGACCUCCCGGGAGCGGGGGACCACCAGGUUGCCUAAGGAGGGGUGAACCGGCCCAGGUCGGAAACGGAGCAGGUCAAAACUCCCGUGCUGAUCAGUAGUGGGAUCGCGCCUGUGAAUAGCCACUGCACUCCAGCCUGGGCAACAUAGCGAGACCCCGUCUCUUUU